AUUGAACGCUGGCGGCAGGCCUAACACAUGCAAGUCGAGCGGCUGAAGGGAGCUUGCUCCUGGUUUCAGCGGCGGACGGGUGAGUAAUGCCUAGGAAUCUGCCUGGCAGUGUGGGAUAACGUCCGAACACGGGCGCUAAUACCGCAUACGUCCUGAGGGCGUAAGUGUGGGAUCUUCGGACCUCACGCUAUCAGAUGAGCCUAGGUCGGAUUAGCUAGUUGGUGGGGUAAAGGCCUACCAAGGCGACGAUCCGUAACUGGUCUGAGAGGAUGAUCAGUCACACUGGAACUGAGACACGGUCCAGACUCCUACGGGAGGCAGCAGUGGGGAAUAUUGGACAAUGGGCGAAAGCCUGAUCCAGCCAUGCCGCGUGUGUGAAGAAGGUCUUCGGAUUGUAAAGCACUUUAAGUUGGGAGGAAGGGCAGUAAGUUAAUACCUUGCUGUUUUGACGUUACCAACAGAAUAAGCACCGGCUAACUUCGUG
rnacentral:rRNA from 1 species